AUUGAACGCUGGCGGCAGGCCUAACACAUGCAAGUCGAGCGAGCGGCGGACGGGUGAGUAAUGACUGGGAAACUGCAUGAUGGAGGGGGAUAACUACUGGAAACGGUAGCUAAUACCGCAUACCAUAAGAUGUGCACAGAUGGGAUAAGCGCGUAGGUGGGGUAACGGCGCACCUAGGAGAAGAUCCCUACCUGGGCUGAGAGGAUGACCAGCCACACUGGAACGGAGACACGGUCCAGACUCCUACGGUAGGGAGCAGGGGGGAAUAGUGGACAAUGGGCGAAAGCCUGAGCCAGCCAUGCGGCGUGUGUGAAGAAGGGCUUCGGAUGGUAAAGCACUUGAAGUUGGGAGGCGUUACCAACAGAAUAAGCACCGGCUAACUCCGUGCCAGCAGCCGCGGUAAUAC
rnacentral:rRNA from 1 species